UGUGAAACCUCAAUAAAAUCACAAACAGUCAAACCAUAGCAGGCAACACACAGUGACUUAUCACAACACAAUGGCACAUUUUUAAAGGGGUGGGGGAGACAAUAUUUAACAGUAAAUAUCUCACCUGCCUGCAGAAUUAGCAAUAUGCAAAUCUACCCGAAUAUGCAAAUGAACCAGUCUUGCAAUUCAGGUAGUGCAUAUUGCUGUUGCUACCAACAGAGAGCACUAGACAAGCUCCAUAGCCAAACCCACCUAGUUGGUAGCAAACCUCAGCAGUACAGGAGAGCAGGCAAUACAUUUCACAGUACACACACACACACUAUAAACAAUUACAUUACACACACCCUGCACCUAUAAUGGGUACAGGGUGACUAAAACAUAAGAUAAAUAAAGCAAC